UGGGGAAUCUUGGACAAUGGGCGCAAGCCUGAUCCAGCCAUGCCGCGUGGAUGAUGAAGGCCCUAGGGUUGUAAAAUCCUUUCGUUGGGGACGAUAAUGACGGUACCCAAAGAAGAAGCUCCGGCUAACUUCGUGCCAGCAGCCGCGGUAAUACGAAGGGGGCUAGCGUUGUUCGGAUUUACUGGGCGUAAAGCGCGUGUAGGCGGGUCGUUAAGUUGGGGGUGAAAUCCCGAGGCUCAACCUCGGAACUGCCUUCAAAACUGGCGACCUGGACCCAAGUAGAGGCAAGUGGAAUUGCGAGUGUAGAGGUGAAAUUCGUAGAUAUUCGCAGGAACACCAGUGGCGAAGGCGACUUGCUGGACUUGUGGUGACGCUGAGACGCGAAAGCGUGGGGAGCAAA
rnacentral:rRNA from 1 species